rnacentral:lncRNA from 1 species
GAUUUAUUUACUGAUAUAUGGUAUAGUUCCUCUAUUUUCUUUCCCCAUCUUUGGCUUAAUUAAUGUUUAAUUGGCAGAUAAAAUUGUAUGUAUUUUAGAAUUUUAGGCUCUGUUUAGUCAGCUUUUUUGCUGCUGUGACUAAAGGAUCUGACCAGAGCAAGUAUAGUGGAGGAAAAUUUUAAUUGAUGGCUCAUGGUUUCAGGGGUCUUAGUCUAUAGAAGGCUGGCUCCAUUUCUCAGGGCUCGAGAUAAGGCUGAACAUCAUGGUGGAGUGUGUGGUAGAGGGAAGCAGCUCAUAUCAUGGUGAUCAUGAAGCAAAGAGAGAGACUCCAGUCUCUAGAUACAAAAUAUAUCCCAUAGCCACACCCCUAGUUAAUCACUUCCUCCAGCCACACCUUACCUGCCUCCAGAUACCUCUUAGUUAAUCCCAUUGGGGAUUAAUUCACUGAUUGGGUUAAGACUCUCACAAUCCAAUAAUUUUCUCCUCUGAACCUUCUUGCAUUGUCUCACACGUGAGCUUUUGGGGGGCACCUCAUAUCCAAACCGUAACAGGCUCCAUAUUCAUUUUUAUAGUUGCUGUUAAAAACAAAUAAAACAGUUGUAUGUAAUGCCUGUAAUCCCAGCUGUUUAUUGUGGUGAGCCGCUUCUGCCGUUUCUGCAGAUUAUGGUCGCCAUUACAAGAUGACGCUGGCUCCACUGUGGUCUGUGACAAACAACUUCUUAUCUGGGAAAGUUGGCACAUGAUUUUUCAUCACCCUGUGAGAAAGCUCCAUGCGGCAGCUUUGCAUUGGGGCUUGGGAUGCUUUAUUAAGGCUGGGAGGGGCAUCUGAGAGAGAGAAGAAGAAAUAUCAAGGGCCUGAAUAAACUGCUGAAAGAAGAUUCCUGAGUUGCAUCUUCCUUGCGGGCAAGGGGUCGCGACAAGUGGUGCCGAAACCCGGGAACCAGAACUUUCAACAGUCAGGGGUGGUGCACCGGU